rnacentral:rRNA from 1 species
AUGCCAUAUGUUGGCCCCCUCGAUGACACCACACAAUGUUCGUCGGCGCAUAAUACUGCACCACGAGUAAACCAAACCUCUGAUUUAUCUACAGAUGACAAUGAAUAUAACCCAGAUGAGGAUUUUGGUGACAAUGAGGUGAAUGCAACAAAAUCUAGGAAAUUUGUUAGUGCGAGGGAGUACUACUGCUUCAAACUGCAGGUCAGGAAGAAGCUUUUUAACAUCAUCUUGUUCGGGGCGCGCCUUUUCCAACAGUGGGCUGUUGACAUGUAUAUCAAGAUGGAGACUAUGAGGCUUGACUGGUACUCAAAGCCGGAAAAUCAGAAGGUUAUACGCGCUGACCUCUACCAGGGUCUUGUUGACACUGUCGUUGUCAGCGAGUCACGCGGUGAUCGGGUUGGCAAGAGAAUCGUGCUCCCACGUACAUUUCCGGGUGGUGACCGUGACAUGCAACGGAGGUUUCUAGAUGCGAUGGCAAUAGUCCAGCGGUGGGGUAAACCGGAUUAUUUUAUCACAAUGACUUGCAAUCCUUAUUGGGAGGAGAUAACUGAGAAAUUGUUGCCUGGACAACUGCCACAAGACCGUCCAGACCUGGUGGCAAGAGUAUACAAAGCUAAACAACGAGAUAUGAUGGACUUACUGACUAAGGGUAAGCAUUUCGGAGAAGUUGCGGCUUAUGUACAUGUCAUGGAGUUUCAUAAACGAGGUCUCCCGCAUGAGCAUAUACUUCUAAUCAUGAAAGCAAAAAGCAAGUUAGCGACCUCGGAUGACUAUGAUCGGGUGAUAUCUGCAGAGAUACCUGACAAAGAAAAAUACCCCAUUCUACAUGAUCUGGUCAUCAAACACAUGAUGCAUGGACCCUGUGGUGAGUUGAAAAAAAGUUGUCCGUGCAUGAUUGAUGGACAGUGCCGAUUUCAUUACCCGCGAGAUUUUUGCAAUGCCACACAACAAGGGAAAGACUCAUAUCCCAUCUAUAGGAGGAGGGACGAUGGGCGUGGAGUUAGGAUCAGAGGAGCAAAUUUGGACAAUAGAUGGGUGGUCCCUUACAACCCUUUUCUGCUUAUGCGAUACAACUGCCACAUUAAUGUCGAAGCAUGCUCAAGCAUCAAGGCAGUCAAGUACUUGUUCAAGUACAUCUACAAAGGGCAUGAUCGGACAUCCUUUGCAUUCGAGCAGGAUAUCAUCAAUGAUGGUGGAAUCAUCAAUGAAAUCCGACAAUAUAGGGAUGCACGCUAUGUAUCUCCUCCAGAGGCUAUUUACAGGAUUUUUGGUUUUAAAAUGUUUGGUGUUAGUCCAUCUGUGUUGCAGCUCCAACUUCAUUUGCCAAACAUGCAUACAGUUGCAUUUAAAUCUUGUGAAAAUCUGGAAGAUGUUCUUUCUCGACCAUCUUCUUCCAAGUCCAUGCUUACCCAGUACUUUGAGAUGAACCGAAGGUUUCCGGAGGCACGAAAAUGGUUGUACAGAGAGUUUCCAGAACAUUAUAGAUGGAUAGCUGGAAACAAGGAGUGGCAGAAUAGAAGAAAUAAGAGAUCACAGAUUGGAAGGCUUGUGUAUGCACACCCCGCUGAAGGAGAGAGGUACUACUUGCGUGUCCUACUAAGUCAUGUCCGAGGUGCCACUUCAUUUGAUGAUUUAAAAACAGUAAAUGGCAAGGCAUGCAGUUCCUUCAGGGAGGCAUGUGAGCACUUAGGCCUCAUUGAGCACGACAGGACUCUUGAUGAUUGCAUGACGGAGGCAGCCACAUUUCAGAUGCCUUGUGCCCUAAGACGGUUGUUUGCGACUAUACUGGUAUUUUGCGAGGCAACAGAAAUCCGAGAAAUGUGGGACAAGCAUCUAGCAUCAAUGUCUGAGGAUUACCGUCGUAACCAAUCCAAUGAGGCAACACUUGAACAGAUGGUGCUAAGAGAUAUCAGGGAUAUGUUGCAAUCCAUGGGAAAGGAUAUUACAAGCUAUGGACUUCCAGAUCUGGUUGAGACCAAUGGUUCUUAUGAUGGUGAGCACAGAGAGGUAACAAAGGAGAGGCAAGUCACCGUGGACAAAGAACAUCUAGAUCUAUUUAGCAGUUUGAACAGUGAGCAGCUGGCUGGUUUCAAUGACAUAAUGGAUCAUGUGAUGAACCAAAAAAGUUAG